AAGUCGUAACAAGGUUUCCGUAGGUGAACCUGCGGAAGGAUCAUCAACAAAUCUAUUUAUGCUGGUAAAACAGCAUAUAUACCAAUGUGAAUUGGGAGAGGGUAACCUUUCUCUAGAUUUUUGUGUCUUUUUAGGCCAAAAAUAUUAACGAGUUAAAUAGAGUCUGAUAAAAGAAUUAAAUUAAAACAACUUUUAACAAUGGAUCUCUUGGCUCUU
rnacentral:misc_RNA from 1 species